rnacentral:sRNA from 1 species
AUUUUUUUAUUGCAGCUGGCCGGUUUUGGGUCUCGCUUGGCAGCCGUAUGCUCCCCGGUUAAAUGUUUGCCCCGGCGUUAUUUAUUCGUUUGUUUGCGCCGGUCAUCAGAGGAGGGGGCAUGUCCAGGUGGGCCGGGAUCCAGGUCAAGGCGGUGCAUCUGCCCGUGAGCGCCGCGCUCCCACAGUCUCCGCCGUAACUUUUCGAUUAGCUUUGCCAACUCAUUUAACAAAUGGUCUGGCUGACAGUAAGAAAUAUAACAAAUUUAGCCCGGCCAUCGCAAGGAGCUGGUAGUUUUCAUUGCAACACCUUAGAAUCAUAAAUUGUGACCUGACCGCCCAGCUGCAGCUGCAGCGGGCGGCAAAAGUUUUGCUCAUCCCGAAGUUUGGCUCACCCCCAUCCGCAAUCCGGGUCCCGAACCCGGAGUUGGCAUUUGGCAAUUGCAUUGUUGCUCCCAUUAUUGUUCUCCGGUUUUCGGUCAUUGGCAGCUUGACCCGCUCCCCUCCCCGGUGGGCAGGAAGGGAAUGUCUUGAAUUACAAUACGGGGAAAGUGCGGAAAAGUUUCUCUGAUUGCGUGUCCAAGUGGUCGGACCACUGCUCCUUUUCAGGCUCCUUCUCCAGAUUGAGUGCUCUCGAGUGCAAGGCGGCGGCACAGGAAUUGUUUUGGCUCCGCCGUUGCGACGGUGGCAAGUUUAUCGAAAGUGAAUCGGGUGGAAUUAUGUGCGUUGGAGUGGGUACGAAUGGCACAAUCCCCAGCCCCGGGCGUCACCUCGAUCACACAAGUCCGCACAACUUGUUUGCGAAAUUGUGCAAUCAGCGCUGGAACAAAGCCCGCUGCCGCUGCCUCAAUAGACUAAAGCAAAUUAAAAAUCUCAUUUAAAUUAAUCCUCGUCGAGGGUCCUCGUCCGCCACUCCAGCUUCCUUCUGAUGGAAGACGGACGGUUGGCGCUCUCAUCAACGCAUUACAAACAAUUCCACUUGGGGCACGCAACCACAGCAGCUUGUGGUUACUUGGUGGGCGUGGCAGCUCCAGCCGCACACUGAGCACUUUCGAUCGGGGGAGGGGAGAAGCCUAAGUCUUGUUUAGCAAUUUGGAAUUUUUAAAUCCUAUUAAAUUUUGCAAUCACAGUUUGAUUUGUUUGCCCAGUUGAGACUGGUCUGUGGCACGGACAGGUGAGGGGAUCGGAGCAACCGGAUCGGAGCUGGGCACGUUCCACGGCAAGACCGAGUCAAAGGGCUUUCAAUGAUUCAAUAGUUUAAUUUCGAAUUUCCAUGCAAAUAAACAAAUAUCCAUUAGGAUGCAGAACGAGGCGGAGUCGAAUGCCGUUUAGCGCUGGUUUCCUUUCAUCCUGCAUUCAGUUCAACGGUUCAAGGAUGUUGAUGCACUGAAUCCACAACCGCUACCAGCUCCCUUAACACAAGCUUCUUUUCAACGAUUCCGAUUGCGAUUCCGAGUGCUUAAAUAUGUGUGCCGUAAUUUAAUUUCAUAAAAGCAAUUGUGCGUCUGACCCCUCGGCUCGUCCCUCGCCGCACAGCCCUCGGCAAACUUUGCUCGCAUUCACAGAAUGACAAAAUCAUGUGACCAGGAGGAAUGUGGCAAGGACUCAACUAAAGGCGGGAGUUUGUGACAGAGGUGGUCGCGUGAGUGCCGACUGGGCUCUGAUGAAAAAGUACCUGAGCUCGCCUCAAAAUCACUACUGUUUAAAAAUAAUCACUUUUCCCAAAUUAAAACACAUGGCUUUGAAAUCAUAUUUCCUACAUCCAUUUUAUUACCUCUAUGUACAACUGGUUUUCCUUCUCUCAAUAUACCAUAGUAUAUAACACUUAAUUAUACAUAUAUAUGUUCAAAAGAAACUCAAAAUGAAUCUUCAAAACCACUACUAUUAUUAUU